ACAAACUUGGUCAUUUAGAGGAAGUAAAAGUCGUAACAAGGUUUCCGUAGGUGAACCUGCGGAAGGAUCAUUAACACUACUUGUUAGCAAUAACAAUGUAAUCACCCAAACGUGCUCUUUCUUUUUUUUUCACACCACUAACCCUUAAAAAUUGUAACCAAUGACUGACAUUGACAAAAAGUUUUUGUUACUUUUUGUUUGAUAUGUUUCACACAUAUUAUUACAAACUAUAACACAACUCUUAACAAUGGAUAUCUUGGCUCUCGUACCGAUGAAGAACGCAGC
rnacentral:misc_RNA from 1 species